rnacentral:rRNA from 1 species
UACGUAGGUGACCAGCGUUGUCCGGAUUUACUGGGCGUAAAGAGCGCGCAGGCGGUCGUUCAAGUCGAGUGUGAAAGCCCCCGGCUCAACUGGGGAGGGUCACUCGAUACUGAUCGACUUGAAGGCAGGAGAGGGAAGCUGAAUUCCCGGUGUAGUGGUGAAAUGCGUAGAUAUCGGGAGGAACACCAGUGGCGAAGGCGGCUUCCUGGCCUGUUCUUGACGCUGAGGCGCGAAAGCUAGGGGAGCAAACGGG